CGCGAUGGAGGAGAGCGGGUACGAGUCGGUGCUGUGUGUCAAGCCUGAUGUCCACGUCUACCGCAUCCCUCCGCGAGCUACCAACCGUGGCUACAGGGCCGCGGAGUGGCAGCUGGACCAGCCAUCAUGGAGUGGCCGGCUGAGGAUCACUGCAAAGGGACAGAUGGCCUACAUCAAGUUGGAGGACAGGACGUCAGGGGAGCUCUUUGCUCAGGCCCCGGUGGAUCAGUUUCCUGGCACAGCUGUGGAGAGUGUGACGGAUUCCAGCAGGUACUUCGUGAUCCGCAUCGAAGAUGGAAAUGGGCGACGGGCGUUUAUUGGAAUUGGCUUCGGGGACCGAGGUGAUGCCUUUGACUUCAAUGUUGCAUUGCAGGACCAUUUCAAGUGGGUGAAACAGCAGUGUGAAUUUGCAAAACAAGCCCAGAACCCAGACCAAGGCCCUAAACUGGACCUGGGCUUCAAGGAGGGCCAGACCAUCAAGCUCAACAUCGCAGUGAGUUCUACCCUUGCGUGGCUGUAGUGGCUGUGGUCACGUGAUACUUGUGGCCACCCAGCCCAGAGCCCAUCGCUCUUCUUACGGUUCAGCUCCUUCAGUUCAGCAGAUGUUUAGUGAGCAUCUGCCUUGUGCCAGGUCCUGCAUCAGGGGUGAACGAGAGACCUCUGUUCUCAUGGAGCUCAGAGUUGAGCUGAGACAGGCAGGUAAAAAUGUGAUUACAACAUGGCAGGAAAGGUUCCAUGACUAAGGGAUGCCCUGCGUGCCGUGGGCUCCUAGAGGAAGGGUGAGCAGCCCAUAGUUGUGAGAACCAAGGAAGGCUUCCUGGAAGAAGGGACCUGUAGGCAAGGGAAGAGUGAUCAAAGAGUGGUUCACACAGAGGGACAGCAGGUGCAAAGCCUCUGAACUGAGAAGGAGCAUCAGUCAUUUGCUGCCAGAGGUGGUGUUUCUGUCCUAGCUAUUAGAGUGCAUCAGGAGGGACCUGUGUGCUCAUCCCAGGCUGUCUUGAAUAAGGAAGAUUUGGGAGAGUUCUGGCAGGAAGGCGUUGAGGUGGGCGCUGGGAGUCCUGGGCAGCUUCUGCUGAUGGUGUUGUCCUGGCUCCUGUGUCUUCAUUCUGAGCUGUUCUGCCUCUGGCUUCCCCCCGUCAGCUCCUGUUCAUAGGAACAGGUUGGGCUGGGUUGCCUAAAGUUGGCCUUUACCUGGCUGCAAGGGUGGAGAGGGGAGAUGAGGUCAGUCAUGAUUGCGGGGACCCAAGGACCAAGUGGAUUGGUUUUUGUUUUUGCUAGGAAUACUGUUGAGAUGGAUUUGUUUUUCUGAAGAAGCUUUGUAACUCUAAAAUAAUGCUUUUCCUCUUUACUUACCAUCUCUUUCUCCUCUUUUCUGCUUCGUGCUGGUGAUGAUUUGGGAUCCUUGAAGUUGGCCAGCUGGCCCUUAAGAGAGAAAUGCAAGUCCAAUCCAGUGGACUGGUUGGGAUGUGAUUCCUUCUCUCGCUUGGAGGAAACUAACAUUUAAUGAGCAUCAGCUGUGGGCCAGGUAGUGUUUUUAGGCAUUUCUCAUGUGAAUUAAACAUCCUCUCCCUUUCCUCCAUGAGAUGAGGAAAUGGAGGCUUAGGGAGGGUUGGGGACUUGCCCAGGGUCACAGAGCUAGAAAUAACUGGCACAGCUGCACUCACACUGAGGUCUUUGAGGUCUUUUGACUUCAGGGCUGGACUUACUAUUUUGUUAAGCUGCUGCUUUCCUUACAAGUAGGGAACACAUUAUCUUCAUCUGUGUAACUUGUGCUGGUUUCUGGCUCAUGCUUGGUGCUCAGUUUUUUUUUUUUAAAGCAUUUUCUUGAAGUAUAAUAUGCAUGUAAAAAAGUGUACAAAUCAUAAAUGCAGAACUCAAUGAAAUUUUAAAAAUCUAAUUUAUAGGCUGGGAGUGGUGGCUCACGCCUGUAAUCCCAGCACUUUGGGAGGCCGAGGUGAGUGGAUCACCUGAGGUCGGGAGUCCGAGACCAGCCUGACCAACAUGGAGAAACCCCGUCUCUACUAAAAAUACAAAAUUAGCCUGGCAUGGUGGCCCAUGGCUGUAAUCCCAGCUACUCGGGAGGCUGAGGCAGGAGAAUUGCUUGAACCUGGGAGGCGGAGGUUGCAGUGAGCUGAGAUCGAGCCAUUGUACUCCAGCCUGGGCAACAAGAGCGAAACUCUGGCUCAAAAAACAAAACAAAACAAAACAAAAAACCCAAUUUAUAAACUUGCACUUUGCUCCAGAUACAAAAGAUUGUCAGCACUCUGGAAACACCUCUCCUGGCCCCUCCCAGUAACUACCCUGAGUAACCCCAUCCUGACUUCACAUACCCUAGGUUUUGUUGUUCUUAACUUUCAUGAAUUGACUCAUACACCUAAUCUUGUUUUGGAAUGAUUUCUUUCUUUUACUCAAUGUAAUUUUUGUGAGAGUCAUCCAUGGUGUUGCGUGUAGUUUGUUCAUUCUCAUUGUUGUGGCGUGUGCCAUUGUGAGAAUUCACCCGAUUUAUUUAUGUUUUACUGAUGAUGGACAUUUGGGUAGUUUCCAGUUUGGGGCGAUUAGAAAUAGUGCUGCUGUAGAUGUUUGAGUUCUUGUCUUUUGGUGCAUAUAUGUAUGAUUUCUGUUGGUUUAUAUCUAGGAGUGGAAUUGCUGAGUCAUAAGUUUAAGUUCCUAUGUUGAGCUUUAUAGAACCUUUCAAAUAAUUUUUCAAAGUAGUUUUACCAGUUUACAUUUCAACCAGCAGAGCGUGAAUGGUUACUUCAUAUCAUAGUGAAUACUUGAUAAUCUACAUUUUAGCCAUUCUGGUGAGUGUGUAGUGGUGUAUCACUAUAGCUUUGAUCUGCAUUUCCCUGAUGAAUGAAGUGGGGGUGCUGGGUUUUAAAAUGGACCUUAUUUGUGAUAGAUUCAGAAUGAUGAUGCACUAAGUAUAGCUCAUAGCAAUGGAGGUGCUAGGUAGGACCAUCUUUUGUUUACACAGAUGUUGGGGGUCUGGGGUCACCUUGGCCCUCCUUGUGGGGUUUUCUGGUAGCAUUGGGACUCCAGCAGAAUGGGCUGAUUUGCAUUCCUCUUCCCUCUUUAGAACAUGAAGAAGAAGGAAGGAGCAGCUGGGAAUCCCCGAGCCCGGCCUGCCAGCACAGGAGGGCUGAGUCUUCUUCCCCCUCCCCCAGGGGGGAAAACCUCCACCCUGAUCCCUCCCCCUGGGGAGCAGUUGGCUGUAGGGGGAUCCCUCGUCCAGCCAGCAGUUGCUCCCAGUUCAGGAGGUGCUCCUGUACCCUGGCCACAGCCCAAUCCUGCCACUGCUGACAUCUGGGGAGACUUUACCAAAUCUACAGGAUCAACUUCCAGCCAGACCCAGCCAGGCACAGGCUGGGUCCAGUUCUGACCUGAGCACAGUUUUUCCUCAUGUGACUUCUGGGAAGGCGCUCCCUCGUCUGGGCCAAAGGAAGGAGGACGAAGCCCUCCUCAGCUGGCCUGUGUUUGGAGCAUGAAUCUCUCCUCUCCUCUUUGUCUGGCUCUGUUGACAAACCGGGCAUGUUUGGCAGUAAAUUGGCACUGUGUCACAGUUUCCUGGGAUUCAAGUAUGCAACCAGAACACAGAAGAAAAGCUCCAGGAUCCCUGUCCCCAUCUGUCCUCUUGACAUGAGAGAGACUGAGACUUCUUCCAUCGCAAUGACCCAUAUUAAACACAAGCCCCCAGAGCAAAAGAAUAGGUUGAGUUUGCUGCCUGGAUUCAGAUCAGCCCUUCCCAGGGUCUACAGGUGUCACAUGAUCACAGUUCAGCGGGAGGCUUUCCGUACCCACACUGGCUGUAGCCACUUCAGUCCAUCUGACCUCCAGAGGAGGGGUUUCUUCCUGAUUUUUAGCAGGUUUAGAGGCUGCAGCUUGAGCUACAAUCAGGAGGGAAAUUGGAAGGAUUAGCAGCUUUUAAAAAUGUUUAAAUAUUUUGCUUUGCUAAUGUGCUGAUCCGCACUAACUCAUCUUUGCAAAAGGACUGCUCCCUCAGCGUGCCCCAGCAGGGGCCUCUGAAGGGAUUCCUCACUGUGGGCAGCUGCCCUGAGCUUCAGGCAGCAGUGUUCAUCUCUGGCCAGUUGUCUGGUUUCCAUGUAUUCUAGGCCAUGUAGGCAACACAGAGCCAAGGCGGGUGCUGGAAGCCAGACAGAACAGUGUUGGGGCAGGAAGGUGGAAGCUGUUGUCAUGGAGCUGUGGGAGUUGGCACUCUGUCUGCUGGUGGCCCUCUCGGCUCACAGGUUCACAGUGCAGCUCCUGGCAGAUGUGGGUUUUCUCUUUGGUGGUUUCUAAAGUGCCUUAUCUGCAAACAACUUUUCUCCUUCAGGAACUGUGAAUGGCUAGAAGGAGCUCAGUAAACUAGAAGUCCAGGGUUGCUUGGUUUACUGGUUUAUAAGAAAUCUGAAAGCACCUCUGAAAUUCCUUUUAUUAACUCACCUUUCAGUUGAAAGAUUUCUUCUUUGAAAGGUCAAGACCGUGAACUGAAAAAAGUGUUGGCCUUUUUGUGGGACCAGAUUUUUAAGAUAAAAAUAAAUAUUUUUACUUCUGUC
rnacentral:sRNA from 1 species